AGGAAGGCGAGAAUGUUCUCCAUUAAUCUUCACGAGUGGUCCGAGACCGAUUUUCUUCAGAGGCUGACGCGCACCGGACACCUCUGCGCGUCUCGCUGGCUCUCGGACAUUAGUCGAAUUAAACCAACUCGGAUCCCCGUGGAGCUGCCUCGAAGAAGGAUGCUAAUAUCACAUAUCAGUUAGAUGACCAAGUUCAGGGCCUGCACAACUGCUGCAGCUCCAGCGCCGGAGCUUGGAUCAAUGGAAUACUGCUGGGGAUACUCUGGACCACACCCACAUACUGAUUAGACCCUCUGAUUGGAUAUCACAUGGAUGUCUUGACCACUGCCAUGGCUUUCAUGCAAAUUGAUAAAGGGGCGACUCACCGUCGAGUCAUUUCUGGAGCAGAGGAAGUGGUGCCGGUGUUGUUGUGGCGAGGGGACUUCAAAGAGGCUGGGACAUCAGUCACGAGCGAGCAGAGGGCAGAACCUGGUCAAUGGCAGGGAUUUGUCGUCUAAUAACCCCUCUGGGGGACUUCAGGUCUAAUUUCAGAGGCGCUGAAAGUAGGAGUUUGUGAACGAUGCCAUAUCCUCCUUUGCUGACACAUGUUUUUUC